AGGGAACACAGGCAAAUACACAUGCAAUUAUACUAUAGCAUCACAAAUGGUGUUAUAAAGGAAAGUCCAAGGUGCCAUGAGAUCACAUAAGAGGGACAACUAAUUCAGCCUGGAAGAUCAAGGGAGGUUCUCCAAAGAAGGUUUUUGCUGAAAGAAUCAAGAGUUCAGUGACAGAAGAAUGAGGGUCAGAGAAGCAUGAAGACAAAGGAGAAUGAGGGUCAUUUAUUCAAUAAACA
rnacentral:lncRNA from 10 species